rnacentral:rRNA from 1 species
GAUGAACGCUGGCGGUAUGCUUAACACAUGCAAGUCGAACGGACUCUUCGGAGUUAGUGGCGGACGGGUGAGUAACGCGUGAGAAUCUGGCUUUGGGUUCGGGACAACCACUGGAAACGGUGGCUAAUACCGGAUGUGCCGAGAGGUAAAAGAGAAAUUGCCUGAAGAUGAGCUCGCGUCUGAUUAGCUAGUUGGUGAGGUAAAGGCUCACCAAGGCAGCGAUCAGUAGCUGGUCUGAGAGGAUGACCAGCCACACUGGGACUGAGACACGGCCCAGACUCCUACGGGAGGCGGCAGUGGGGAAUUUUCCGCAAUGGGCGAAAGCCUGACGGAGCAAUACCGCGUGAGAGAAGAAGGCUCUUGGGUUGUAAACCUCUUUUCUUAGGGAAGAACAAAAUGACGGUACCUAAGGAAUCAGCAUCGGCUAACUCCGUG